rnacentral:sRNA from 1 species
GGCCUGGCCUGGCCUGGCUGAGGGGAGGCGGCGGGCGGGCGCGAUGGCGGAGGCCGGGCCACAGGCGCCGCCGCCCCCGGGCACUCCAAGCCGGCACGAAAAGAGCCUGGGACUGCUCACCACCAAGUUCGUGUCCCUUCUGCAGGAGGCCAAGGACGGCGUGCUUGACCUCAAGCUGGUGCGGCCUGGGCUAAGGGGAGACAAGGGAGGCUGGUGGACCAGGCCUGGGCCGGUAGCGGGAACCCCGGGGGCGGCCCAGCUGGGUCCUCCGAGAGCCGGCCGCCAUCGUGUGCUUUCUCACAGGAGAGAAGCCGGGGGAUGUUUCAUUCAUUCGGCCGAGGCCAUCGAGCUACAGCUAUGGGCCAGGCUCGGGGCUGCAGGUGUUCGUCCUCGUGGCCCUUCCUGGCUGGCGAGGAGAAGAGCUGCCUAUGGGACAGAGCUGCGGUCCUGAGCUGCAGUAGCGCCUGGGAGGCACUACAGGGUUGGAAUCCAGAUUACUCCCUUCCCAGACCACGUCUCAGGGUGGCUGGGGGUACACCCCAGAGUGGGGCUGAGCAUUCUCCAUUCUCUCUGCCAGGCAGCUGACACCCUAGCUGUACGCCAGAAGCGGCGGAUUUACGACAUUACCAAUGUUUUGGAAGGUAUCGGGCUAAUCGAGAAAAAGUCCAAGAACAGCAUCCAGUGGAAGUGAGUGGGCAUAGUGGGAGGGUAGUAGAGUCUCCCACCCAGAAGUGUCGGGCGUGGGGUGGAGGGUGCCGAAGAAGGCAGGGGCCAUGGGACCCAGAGUUCUCAGCAGUCCCUCUCAGCCCCACUCCCUGGGCUCAGGGGUGUGGGGCCUGGCUGCAAUACCCGGGAGAUUGCUGACAAACUGAUUGAGCUCAAGGCAGAGAUCGAGGAGCUGCAGCAGCGGGAGCAAGAACUAGACCAGCACAAGGUGUGGGUGCAGCAGAGCAUCCGGAACGUCACAGAGGACGUGCAGAACAGCUGUUUGGCCUACGUCACUCAUGAGGACAUCUGCAGAUGCUUUGCUGGAGAUACCCUCUUGGCCAUCCGGGCCCCAUCAGGCACCAGCCUGGAGGUGCCCAUCCCAGAGGGUCUCAAUGGGCAGAAGAAGUACCAGAUUCACCUGAAGAGUGUGAGUGGUCCCAUUGAGGUUCUGCUGGUGAACAAGGAGGCAUGGAGCUCACCCCCUGUGGCUGUGCCUGUGCCACCACCUGAAGAUUUGCUCCAGAGCCCAUCUGCUGUUUCUACACCUCCACCUCUGCCCAAGCCUGCCCUAGCCCAGUCCCAGGAAGCCUCACGUCCAAAUAGUCCUCAGCUCACUCCCACUGCUGUCCCUGGCAGUGCAGAAGUCCAGGGAAUGGCUGGCCCAGCAGCUGAGAUCACAGUGAGUGGCGGCCCUGGGACUGAUAGCAAGGACAGUGGUGAGCUCAGUUCACUCCCACUGGGCCCAACAACACUGGACACCUGGCCACUGCAGUCUUCUGCCCUGCUGGACAGCAGCAGCAGCAGCAGCAGCAACAGUAACAGCAGCAGUUCGUCCGGACCCAACCCUUCUACCUCCUUUGAGCCCAUCAAGGCAGACCCCACAGGUGUUUUGGAACUCCCCAAAGAGCUGUCAGAAAUCUUUGAUCCCACACGAGAGUGCAUGAGCUCGGAGCUGCUGGAGGAGUUGAUGUCCUCAGAAGUGUUUGCCCCUCUGCUCCGUCUUUCUCCACCCCCCGGAGACCACGAUUAUAUCUACAACCUGGACGAGAGUGAAGGUGUCUGUGACCUCUUUGAUGUGCCUGUUCUCAACCUCUGACUGACAGGGACAUGCACUGUGUGGCUGGGACCCAGACUGUCUGACCUGGGGGUUGCCUGGGGACCUCUCCCACCCGACCCCUACAGAGCUUGAGAGCCACAGACGCCUGGCUUCUCCGGUCUCCCCUCACCGCACAGUUCUGGCCACAGCUCCCGCUCCUGUGCUGGCACUUCUGUGCUCGCAGAGCAGGGGAACAGGACUCAGCCCCCAUCACCGUGGAGCCAAAGUGUUUGCUUCUCCCUUUCUGCGGCCUUCACCAGCCCAGGCUCGGCUGCCACCCAGUGGCACAGAACCGAGGAGCUGCCAUUACCCCCCACAGGGGGCAGUGUCUUGCUCCUGCCAGCCUCAGUGUCUUGCUUCUGCCAGCUCCUUCCCCUAGGAGGGAAGGGUGGGGUGGAACUGGGCACAUGCCAGCACCACUUCUAGCUUCCUUCGCUAUCCCCCACCCCCUGACCCUCCAGCUCCUCCUGGCCCUCUCAUGUGCCCACUUCUGCUGGGCCUUUAGCCCUAGAACCUGCAGGUGGUGGGGGCGGCUACCAAGAAGGAACAGAGGUCUCUGGGGAGGAGUCUGGGUGGUCCAGCCCUGAUGAUUGGCCCCACCUCCUGCUGCCCCAUAACCCUCUCUUCAUUUCGGCUUUUUCAUUUACCCUCAUUUAGAGCCAUUUGCAGAGAUUUAGAAAGAUUUACAGUAACGAAUGGAUUCCUAUAUAAAGAUUAUUUUUAUACUUUUUGCAGCAAAAGGAAAUUGUAAUAUUUGUACAGUGUUCAAGUGAAUAAAAACCAUGCCUAAGGCU